AAUACGGGGUAAUAUAUUUGAGAGGCAUCUCUUGAAUAUCAAAGGUGAGCCAGUACAGGAUGGACCCGCGUCUGAUUAGCUAGUUGGUAAGGUAACGGCUUACCAAGGCGACGAUCAGUAGCCGACCCGAGAGGGUGAUCGGCCACAUUGGAACUGAGACACGGUCCAAACUCCUACGGGAGGCAGCAGUGGGGAAUAUUGCACAAUGGGCGAAAGCCUGAUGCCGCAACCCGCGUGAGUGAUGAAGGCCUUCGGGUCGUAAAACUCUGUCCUCAAGGAAGAUAAUGACGGUACUUGAGGAGGAAGCCCCGGCUAA
rnacentral:rRNA from 1 species